UGGUCUGUGGCUUAGUUGGUUAAAGCAACGGUCUAGCGAAUACGGAGUAGUGGGUUCGAAUCCCUCCAGAACGC
rfam:Aedes albopictus isolate Foshan contig118791, whole genome shotgun sequence.